rnacentral:lncRNA from 1 species
GCGGCAGGUAGAGUUACGAGCGCGAAUCACCUGUCACUCUCGCUCGAGCGCACCUGUUGCAUCGUUCUAGACUUUUUGUCCUCAACUUUUUUUUGUUGUUGUUGUUUUUACAUUUUUGUCUGUAUCAGCAAGGUCCCUUGGCAACCCAAAUCCCGCCGUGUUUGGAGCAAAGUUCACAUCUGUGAGAAAACAGAUUGAGAUGGAGUCUUGAAGAAGCGUUUGCGUUUCUGGAAACGGGAGGAAUUAUCUGCGAAGUGAAGAACGGGACCGUAGAUUCUCUCUGCUGAGGGGUGGAUGUCGUAGAACAUGAAUGCUUUGGGGACCCCAACAAAACCAAGCAAUGGGGUGGCCAGAUCGGACAGCAAGAUCAGUGCCAAAACCCUGUUUGAGCAACGAAAGAAGUACUCAAACUCGAACGUCAUCAUGCAAGAGACGUCGCAAUACCAUGUGCAGGUGAGCGAGAUUCUAAACUACUGAUUCUUUUCAUUCUGUUUCUUCCUUCUAAGCUUGUUGAUUAGCUGAACCUCGCCACUGAGAGAUUGGUUUAAUAUUUAACGUGAUUCAACUGAUGACUUGAUAUCGUAAUAAAGCAGUCAGGUCACUUGAUCACCGCAGAGAUUUGUCAGGGCAGAGUUAACCUCCAUCUAAACAGAUAACGCAAUCUGCGGUCUGAAAUCCACAUUAUACAACACCUAGUUCCAGUCCUUGAAUUUGAUUGGCCGAAAUGCAGUGGUGCAUUUUAUGCAACGCAAC